rnacentral:lncRNA from 1 species
CGUGCUGUGUGCUAGGAUCUGGUGUUUGGGGAAAAUGAUGCUGAACAAGUAACACUUGAAAUGCAAUGAAGGGGAGGAGAUCUAAGAGUAUGCAUGGACCCCGAAUGAGGAGUGAGCGAACCAUUGCACGCUGGUCAACCCAACCUGACAAAGCUGUCCCAGGUGCUUCAAUUAGUAAGGAGAUGAGGACAGAGGGUGAUAAGGGCUUGCUCAAGGUCAUACAGCAAGGUGGUGCAAGAGUCAGAACCAACACACAGAUCUUCAGACUCCCAGUUCAAGGUCCCAUUCCUGAGAAGGGUCUGACAGAUUCUGAGCACGGCACUCAAGCCAAAAGGAAUCCCUCUCGAUUUAGAAAUCUUCAGCCACUCCCUGGAAAAUGAGGAAUAGAGCCUAGGUGUCAAUAAAUCAUCCAGGAGCACCAGUGAGAAGCAUUCUCUGAGAACUUCUGCGAAUUUCAUUAGCUGCAGUUUAUUUGGUUUUGGUGAGCUAUGAUGUUUUUUAAAUCUCAAAUGUCUAGGAAGUGAGGAGCAUCUCUGCCCGGCUGCCCAUCGUCUGAGAUGUGGGGAGCGCCUUUGCCCCGCCGCCCCGUCUGGGAUGUGAGGAGCGUCUCUGCCCGGCCGCGACCCCGUCCGGGAGGGAAUGCGGCAGAGAAAAAGAGGAGAAACUGAAGAAGGGACUAAAUAAGGCAAGGCUGGAUCAGAAAAGAUUGACUCUGAGGACUAAGAGAAACUGAAGCUGGGACCCAGCAGGGUGCUAUUGACCUCCAAGUCCUUUCUCCACAUUCCCCCAUCUGCCCAACUUCCACAGCUCAGGGGUCUUUUCUCCUAGGGUUGAAAUAUGAAUGGCUCUAAAAUUUCCCAGUGAAAACCAUCCAUGAAGUUGUGUGUGGGAAAUGAAAUGCCAGCCCGUGGGUGUCAGCAACUGUGAAGAAAGCGUGGCAUCCACGCUCACCUGGGCUUCCUUUGGUUUGCCUCAUUAAUCAGCUCCCCAGGUCAUCGGCACGUCUCGCCUCAGGCUCACAGGUCUGGUUUUUGUAUAAUACACAUUUCCCCCAGUUUUUAUUUCAUCUGUUUUUUUCAAGCAGCCUUUCCAUUAUUUCUGAACAUUUGAGUUAAAAAAAUGUAAAUUACAGACGCCUGCGGAUUGACGUAAUGUGAAAAGAAGGCGGCUGUUUCCCCUUCCUCCAAACAGGGGACAUGGCUUUUCAAACUAAU